AACGAUGAUGCCCAGCUUGCUGGGUGGAUUAGUGGCGAACGGGUGAGUAACACGUGAGUAACCUGCCCUUCACUCUGGGAUAAGCCUGGGAAACUGGGUCUAAUACUGGAUAUUCUCAUCAUCUCGCAUGGGGUGGUGUGGAAAGUUUUUCGGUGGAAGGAUGGACUCGCGGCCUAUCAGCUUGUUGGUGAGGUAGUGGCUCACCAAGGCGACGACGGGUAGCCGGCCUGAGAGGGUGAUCGGCCACACUGGGACUGAGACACGGCCCANACUCCUACGGGGAGGCAGCAGUGGGGAAUAUUGCACAAUGGGCGAAAGCCUGAUGCAGCGACGCCNCGUGAGGGAUGAAGGCCUUCGGGUUGUAAACCUCUUUCGCCAGGGAAGAAGCGAGAGUGACGGUACCUGGAGAAGAAGCACCGGCUAACUACGUGCCAGCAGCCGCGGUAAUACGUAAGGUGCGAGCGUUGUCCGGAAUUAUUGGGCGUAAAGAGCUUGUAGGCGGUUUGUCGCGUCUGCCGUGAAAAUUCAGCGCUUAACGCUGGACGUGCGGUGGGUACGGGCAGGCUAAAGUGUGGUAGGGGAGACUGGAAUUCCUGGUGUAGCGGUGAAAUGCGCA
rnacentral:rRNA from 1 species